rnacentral:lncRNA from 1 species
UGAUUUGUGUUGAGGUAGAGAACACAUGGAAGACCUUUACAAUGUGAUGAUUAUUUGAACAACUAUCAAGUUGGAGCAUUAAAUUCUUAUGUGAUCAUUAUGAUCCAUUAGGUGUAGCGCAUAAGGUCACGCGCGAGGCAUAUGGCUUCAACUAGAACUUUCAUUCUCUCUAUCAUCAGUAAGCACGAAGCGUGUGAAGGAAUUCUUGGGGAGCACGAGAACCAAGAGAAAUUCCUUCUUUCAUGGACUUGAUGUUGAGUUCCUUGUAUUCGUUCACUUUUCGUUGACUUUAACUUUUGAUGUGUGCUUGGGACUUGGGACAAAAUUUACCUAAGUUGCAUAGACUUCAAAUACCUCAUUGUGCUUGGUCUUCAUGCUUUCAUAACUUAUACCAAACAUCUUCUGAUCAGAUCAAC